rnacentral:snRNA from 1 species
GUAUGAGAGGGUGAUCUGGCUCCAACAUCUGUCACCCCAUUGAUAACCAAGGUUGAUUUAGCUGAUCUGGCUGGCUAGGUGGGUGUCCCCUUCCUCCCUCACCACUCCUGCUGCCCUCCCGAAGCUGCCACUUGGUCUAAGAGGAUGGCUUUCCCUAGAAUAGAGACAGACCAGUCUUCUGUUGAGAGUAUACAAGUAGCUCAGUUCCCCUGCUAGAACCUCCAAACAAGAUCUCAAUGUCCUUAAAACUGUCUAACAGAAAAACAUUGGGAAAAUUUUCAUACAGUGUUAUAAAGAGAAUGAGAUGGAGUAGCAUGUUCUAGUGU